rnacentral:misc_RNA from 1 species
UCCGGUUUGGCACCGGCAGUCCCCCCAGAGUCCCCGGCUCGAGGCCUUUUGAGGGGCCUCUCUCCGCUGGCAACUGGGGGCGGGGGUUGCGCUCGUUGCGGGACUUAACCCAACAUCUCACGACACGAGCUGACGACAGCCAUGCAGCACCUGUCCUCGGGUCCCGAAGGAGGGCCCUGGUUUCUCAGGGCUUCCCCGAGGAUGUCAAGCCCGGGUAAGGUUCUUCGCGUUGCGUCGAAUUAAACCACAUGCUCCACCGCUUGUGCGGGCCCCCGUCAAUUCCUUUGAGUUUCAGCCUUGCGGCCGUACUCCCCAGGCGGGGCACUUAAUGCGUUAGCGCCGGCACCCGGGGGGUCGCUCCCCCAAGCACCUAGUGCCCAUCGUUUACGGCGUGGACUAC